CGGGACGUGCGUUGUUAGGACGCGCGUCGCCGCGCCUUCACUGCACCGCCCGUGAAGAAUCAAUGGAAGGCUGACCGGCGGCGCAGCCUUCGCAUUGAUUCCCGCAGGAAACGAGGCGAUGAGGAGGACGAACGCGCGUAGUCACUGAGAGGGCAGAUCCACACACAUUUCGCGCCAAAAAAGUUUCCCCCGAUCCCCGGACACCCCCAGCUCGCUGGGUUCGGCUUGGAACGAUCGAUGCAAAUUUCUCUCCUAGCCGAUGAAAAACAGGCUCCUAUAAACGCGACUGGAUCAUUUUUUUCGUGCCGAUGUUAAAAAAUGGUUUUGAAGGGCCUGUUGUGGACGUAGAUGAAGAUGCUCUUAGAAGCUCUUGCGACGGUAACAACAACUCCAUUAUUGCUCGAGGCAAGGACAAGUUUUACCCCUAACCUUCCUUCCAUUCUUCCACCUCAAACCCUAGUUACAAGCCUGACCGCGGUGGUCGAGGACCGGAAGCAAAUAAUUACAUGACUAUGGCCAAAUCAUAGUGCAGAUAAUGUUCAACUUUAUACAUAUUCUAGGUGCCAUAUUUUUUGAACAACGGGGAGGCCUACCUGGAAUUCAUAUAACAAAAUUAUUACUCCCUCUGUAAACUAAUAUAAGAACGGUUAGAUAACUACUUUAGUGAUCUAAAUGCUCUUAUAUUAGUUUACAGAGGGAGUACAACACAACCCUCAGGAUCUCACAGGAACGCAAAAAUACAAGCAAAUCCUUUUAAUUUGCACAAAAGAGCUCCAAAUAAACUCCUAAAAAGCAUCAGAUCUCUAAGCUCUAAUAACAAUAUCCUUCUAUUUACUGUGGAACACAAAUCAAUUGAUAGUUACAAAACCAAGGAGAUAUUGUAACACGUCCAACAAAUUUGGCAACUAAGAAAAAACUCAAAUUGUCUGAACAUAAUCCCCAAAACAAAUAAUCAUAGCUCGGAUCGGUUUGCAGUUGAUGAGAUGUGUUGGCUGUGCUUAUUUUAUAAUUGGUUGUGAAAAUGACUAUAUAAGAGCAUCUUCAACAGAUGUUCUAUUUUAGU
rnacentral:lncRNA from 1 species